ACGUAGGUGGCGAGCGUUGUCCGGAUUUACUGGGCGUAAAGCGCCCGCAGGCGGCUCGGCAAGUUUCAGGUGAAAUCUCCCGGCUCAACCGGGAGCGGUCUUGGAAAACUGCCGGGCUUGAGGCAGGGAGAGGGAUGCGGAAUUCCGUGUGUAGCGGUGAAAUGCGUAGAUAUACGGAGGAACACCAGUGGCGAAGGCGGCAUCCUGGCCCUGUCCUGACGCUGAGGGGCGAAAGCGUGGGGAGCAAACCG
rnacentral:rRNA from 1 species